AGGAUUGUGGCUUAGUGGUAGUAGAGUGCUUGCCUUGCAUGCAUGAAGCCCUAGGUUCCAUUCCUCAGUACCA
rfam:Dipodomys ordii contig_48845, whole genome shotgun sequence.